rnacentral:rRNA from 1 species
ACUCCUGCGGGAGGCAGCAGUGGGGAAUUUUGGACAAUGGGCGAAAGCCUGAUCCAGCAAUGCCGCGUGUGUGAAGAAGGCCUUCGGGUUGUAAAGCACUUUUGUCCGGAAAGAAAUCCUUGGCUCUAAUACAGUCGGGGGAUGACGGUACCGGAAGAAUAAGCACCGGCUAACUACGUGCCAGCAGCCGCGGUAAUACGUAGGGUGCGAGCGUUAAUCGGAAUUACUGGGCGUAAAGCGUGCGCAGGCGGUUUGCUAAGACCGAUGUGAAAUCCCCGGGCUCAACCUGGGAACUGCAUUGGUGACUGGCAGGCUAGAGUAUGGCAGAGGGGGGUAGAAUUCCACGUGUAGCAGUGAAAUGCGUAGAGAUGUGGAGGAAUACCGAUGGCGAAGGCAGCCCCCUGGGCCAAUACUGACGCUCAUGCACGAAAGCGUGGGGAGCAAACAGGAUUAGAUACCCCAGUAGUCC